UGCCACUAUCUCAUCAGCUGGUCCCUCUGCAUCACAGGUAAUCUGAUUAUGUAAUUCUGAUAACUGCAAAGAUAAACUUAAGUACGGAGGGUAGAUCAUUUUAUAUAACUUGUGCCAUAGUUCCUGAGAUUCUUUCCAGUAUAAACGUGGCUCUACACUGGAAUUACUGAUGGAGUGUCAUUAAGCUUUGAUUCCAAAAUGUAAUAUGAAGAUUACUGAAUUUAUAGGAGUAUUUUAUUCGCCAUAUGGAUGGUUGCACUCUGGAAUCUGAAGCGGAGAAGGAAAGGGUUGUGAAGUGUAUUGAAGCUGCAAUUCGACGAAGGAUAAGUGAUGUAAGGGAGAUUACCUACUCUUCUUAGUCCUGAACGUUUCUCAAGAUUCGAUGCCACCAGGUAGAACAUACUUAAUUCCUUUGAUAUGCAGGGUUUCAGCCUAGAGCUGUGUGCCAAGGACCGAGUUGGCUUACUUUCUGAAGUUACAAGAGUCCUACGAGAAAAUGGGCUAUCAGUGACCAGAGCUGGUGUCACAACUAUUGGGGAGAAAGCAAAGAAUGUCUUCUACAUAAGAGAUGCAUCUGGAAAACCUGUCGAGAUGAAGACGAUUGAAAGACUGCGUGAGGAAAUUGGACAGACGAUGAUGCUUAAUGUGAAGAAAGACCCAACAUCUGCAAAGGUACCUGAAACUGGUGGUCUGGCUAAGACAAGCUUUUUCUUUGGAGGCUUACUGGAAAAGUUCCUAACUUAAAAGUUCAUCUGUUGUGAGCUUACCUACUUAUAUAGAAGAAUAAAGCAAUUAAUUAUAAGUCAAACGCAUAAAUGUGGCAAGGUUUCCCUGUAAAAAUAUGUGUAGAUACAUUGGACAAUUAUCCUUGCCAGGAUAAACAAAGGGAAAAAGAUUGGAAGAAAAAAGAACCUGCCCCAUUCAGUCUUAUUCUGUGCUGAAGUGUGGAAUUAUCCGAUGACUGUGUGCUGUUCUUGCACAAUAAAAGAUGAAAGUAUGACUUUAGGAUUAAAACUUUGGUCCAGAAAUGCUACUAUUGAAGAUUGAACAAAGAAAGCCAAUACAUUUUAGUGUACUUGAUCUUGAUGUCUAUGUUGUGUAGUUGUAGCAGCCCAAAAAUGAGCUGCUGACAUUGUUGUGAUUUUAACCUUUAGCUCCUUCAGUUUAUUAGCUGGUUGAGUAUUUUCCCUUCAUUUGUCAGUUAACUGGAAGUAUGCUUAGGUCAAUGUUUGUAACUUUAAUUUUAAUUAGUUCCUCCUAUGCUAUCUACAUGCUAGUAGAAAAUAUAACAUUGGUCAAAUGUAAAAAUACCAAACAUUGAUCCAAUCUAGUUAAACUCCUUCAAGCAGGGGUAGAUACACCAGCUUCCUCUGACAGCUGUCUCGGGACAGCGCUUCUGUCACGAACCGAGCCGAGGCCAUCGCCGCGAUGGGUUUCCGAACCACGAAGGCCUGAGAGACCCCUUAGCAUACUAUCAUAAGCAUAAUCUAUACAUAAAUCAAAGUGUGGAAGAGAUAACAAAAUUCAAGUUGAUCCUAUGAUCAAUAUAUGUCAAUAAAGUUAUGUCAAUACAACACUCAAAUUCCGUCUACAAAGCCUCUACUGUCGAGAUGAAGACUAUUGAAAGACUGCGUGAGGAAAUUGGACAGACGAUGAUGCUUAAUGUGAAGAAAGACCCAACAUCUGCAAAGGUACCUGAAACUGGUGGUCCGGUUAAGACAAGCUUUUUCUUUGGAGGCUUACUGGAAAAGUUCCUAACUUAAAAGUUCAUCUGUUGUGAGCUUACCUACUUAUAUAGAAGAAUAAAGCACUUAAUUAUAAGUCAAACGCAUAAAUGUGGCAAGGUUUCC
rnacentral:lncRNA from 1 species